rnacentral:rRNA from 1 species
CUACGGGGGGCUGCAGUGAGGAAUAUUGCGCAAUGGGGGAAACCCUGACGCAGCGACGCCGCGUGGAUGAUGAAGGCCUUCGGGUCGUAAAAUCCUGUCAGAAGGAAAGAAGUGUAUGGUAGCUAAUAUCUGCCAUACUUGACGGUACCUUCAAAGGAAGCACCGGCUAACUCCGUGCCAGCAGUCGCGGUAAUACGGAGGGGUGCAAGCGUUGUUCGGAAUUACUGGGCGUAAAGCGCGCGUAGGCGGUUUUAUAAGUCAGAUGUGAAAGUCCACGGCUCAACCAUGGAAGUGCAUUUGAAACUGUAAGACUUGAGUAUUGGAGGGGGUAGUGGAAUUCCCGGUGUAGAGGUGAAAUUCGUAGAUAUCGGGAGGAAUACCGGUGGCGAAGGCGACUAUCUGGCCAAAUACUGACGCUGAGGUGCGAAAGCGUGGGGAGCAAACAGGAUUAGAUACCCCAGUAGUC